rnacentral:lncRNA from 1 species
AUGACUCCUCCAAGCUGCCAUGCAUUCCUGAGGCUCCUGAUAAAUCUACAGAUGUUAUCUACCUCUCUUAUGGUCAGCUCAUUAUUUGAAUCCCAGCAUCUCAGAGAAACCUCUUCAUGGACCAAUAGAAAAGGGACAGAAAAGUUCCACUGGGAUGCUCAUACACUUUUCGUGGACUUGGCUCCCCCUGGUCCUGAUUUCCAUCUGCUAAACAAGGUAGUCCUGUGUGGGAGUCUGUUUUCCCAUAUUCCAGGUACAAGAUUCAUCCUGGCAGAUUAA